CUACAUAAUGGAUAUCUCUCUCACAUGUACAACCGAUCCAAUCCAUCCACGGCCUGUUCCUUAUCUCCAUUAUCUCUCUCUCUCUCUCCAGCCAAUGAAAAACAAAGUAAGCUGGUGCAUAUGGAUUCAGUGUGCUUAAGGAGUUCAUUAGAUCCAGUAAAUUCCUCACCUAGAUCAGGUUCGUUUUCUUUCCGAUUUACACUUUAAUCUACUGUUAUUUUUUUGGAUUCUAUGUAAUCGCUGCGACAUCCAGUGUCGUAGCAUCCAACCCUUCAAGCAACACUGCAAGAAAGAAUGGAUCCAGCAGGAACUACAUACUUAGUUAUGAUCGGGUUGAAGCCCAUCACCAAGGCUGCUGUGUGGAGGAACUAAGAGUGAUUCUGUAGACAGAGGAUGUGCACGCUGAAGCCCCAACCACAGUCACACGCGGACACACCAUUAGUUUUGAACAGGCUCAUUUCUUGUGAAUUCUUCAUAUGUCCAAUUAUUGAGUUGUGUCUACACAUAUCUGAUUUCACAUCGUGUAUCUGCGUGCCAAAUUAGAAUUAUCUGUCAAAAAGAUUUUGUACUCAACUUAUAAUGUAUCAAUAGUUCAACAAGUUAUUUGGAUCUCAAGAAUCAGCAAUCUCUUCAGUCAUGUGCAUCUCAAAUAUGUAAAUCAAGCUCAAGGUAAAAAAUCUGAUGUGUACUUUACUUACUUCUUCUCUAGAACUAACACCACCGAUCUCUUUUUUAUAUAUAAGAUACAACACCAAUCUUUAUUUAAGUUUUAUCCUUCAUUGUCUAUAAGACACAACACCAUCGCCAUUAGCUGCACUAAAUCAUUCUGGGCGGCCAAAGGUGACACAGAAAUUAGCACUAACCUGGAUGAAGAUAAUUAGAUCUUAACUACAUGGCCCCAUGCAUGCCCACGAGGGAUAUGGUGAGGCUUUAGCAGCCGUGGUGGAGACAAGGUGAUUAAUUUGCACAAACAUGUAUUUUUCAGCGGGAUCAGUCGCACAAGCAUGUAUACAGGUUCACAUGUGUGAUUAUGUUUCUUGAUGAAGGAACUAUAAUCCUAUUAAUAUUUUUCUUUCCAAAGUGUUUAAUUUUCUUUGAGAUGAAAUCAUCAUUUUUUACUUAAACCAUGUUAAGUUGUUGUGAGGUGCAUGAACGUAUUAUGAUUAUUGUUUGUUUCAUUUUUGUAUUAAUUACAGGAGUAUCAAGGACAACCAGAAGGAUGCUCUACGUACACUGUUUGCUGGAAGGGAUACAAAUAAUUUAAUACAUGGUCUCAGGGAACAAAAAGUAUAUAAAAUUCAGAUGUACGAUAUGUUUUGACUAGAAAGAACUGAGACAUUGCUCUAGAUAAAACUGAGACAUUGCUCGGGUAUGGACUAAUAUUUUUCUUUCCUAUUAAGUUCAGAUGUACAAUGUGUCUGGCUAUUGACUCUAUUUGAGGUGAAAUAAUAAGUUUCUAAAACCUAUUAAGUUGGUGUCAGGUGCAUGGAUGAACGUAUUCUGAUUAUUGUUUGUUUCAUUUUGUACUAAUUACAGGAGUACCAACGGCAACCAGCAGGAUGCUCUACGGAUCAGAUACAAAUAAUUUAAUACUGUCUCACGGUAUAAAAAGUAUGUAAUGUAAAACUCAGAUGUAUAACAUGUUUUGUUUACAUAAG
rnacentral:lncRNA from 1 species